CUUUGCUGACGAGUGGCGGACGGGUGAGUAAUGUCUGGGAAACUGCCUGAUGGAGGGGGAUAACUACUGGAAACGGUAGCUAAUACCGCAUAACGUCGCAAGACCAAAGAGGGGGACCUUCGGGCCUCUUGCCAUCGGAUGUGCCCAGAUGGGAUUAGCUAGUAGGUGGGGUAACGGCUCACCUAGGCGACGAUCCCUAGCUGGUCUGAGAGGAUGACCAGCCACACUGGAACUGAGACACGGUCCAGACUCCUACGGGAGGCAGCAGUGGGGAAUAUUGCACAAUGGGCGCAAGCCUGAUGCAGCCAUGCCGCGUGUAUGAAGAAGGCCUUCGGGUUGUAAAGUACUUUCAGCGGGGAGGAAGGUGCUGAGGUUAAUAACCUCAGCAAUUGACGUUACCCGCAGAAGAAGCACCGGCUAACUCCGUGCCAGCAGCCGCGGUAAUACGGAGGGUGCAAGCGUUAAUCGGAAUUACUGGGCGUAAAGCGCACGCAGGCGGUCUGUCAAGUCGGAUGUGAAAUCCCCGGGCUCAACCUGGGAACUGCAUUCGAAACUGGCAGGCUAGAGUCUUGUAGAGGGGGGUAGAAUUCCAGGUGUAGCGGUGAAAUGCGUAGAGAUCUGGAGGAAUACCGGUGGCGAAGGC
rnacentral:rRNA from 1 species